UACGGAGGGUGCAAGCGUUGUCCGGAAUCACUGGGCGUAAAGGGUGCGUAGGCGGGUCUUUAAGUCAGGGGUGAAAUCCUGGAGCUCAACUCCAGAACUGCCUUUGAUACUGAAGAUCUUGAGUUCGGGAGAGGUGAGUGGAACUGCGAGUGUAGAGGUGAAAUUCGUAGAUAUUCGCAAGAACACCAGUGGCGAAGGCGGCUCACUGGCCCGAUACUGACGCUGAGGCACGAAAGCGUGGGGAGCAAACAGG
rnacentral:rRNA from 1 species